rnacentral:lncRNA from 1 species
AAGAAUAAUAAGUUCUUCCCCCAGGCAUCCUUUUCUCUUCACCCUGUCAGCAGUUAACACAGCCCAGCAUCUAAGCUGUCUCAUCCUUUUCUCUACCUUGUCAGCAGGCUUCCCAAAAUCAAACUUCAGUUUCAAAAUUGCCUUUCCUGACGCCAGGCUUUUCCGAUGCUUCAGAAGGGCCUCUGGAGUAUCCAGAAAAGAGGACACACAGAGAAGGCAGACAUCGGCAAGCUAGGAAGGGAGCCCUCAUCGGAACCAAACUGUGCUGGCACCCUGAUCUCAGACUUCUGCCUCCAGAAUUGUAAG